rfam:Schistosoma rodhaini strain Burundi genome assembly, scaffold: SROB_scaffold0001818
AUCCAGCUGACAAGUCCCAAAUAGGAUGAAACACGCGUCAAACUGGAU